rnacentral:lncRNA from 1 species
UGUGUUGUGGAGGCCUAGGCAGCUGUGUGUGUGUGUGUUGUGGAGGCCUAGGCAGCUGUGUGUGUGUGUGUGUUGUGGAGGCCUAGGCUGAUGUGUGCAUGCGUGUGGUGGAGGCCUAGGCAGCUGUCUGUGUGUGCAAGUGUGUGUGGUGGAGGCCUAGGCCGGUGUGUGUGUGUUGUGGAGGCCUAGGCUGAUGUGUGUGUGUGUUCUGUGGAGGCCUAGGCUGAUUGUGUGUGCGUGUGUGUUGUGGAGGCCUAAGCUGAUGUGUAUGUGUGUGCUGUGGAGGCCUAGACAGUCUGUGUGUGUGUGCGUGCGUGUGUGUUGUAGAGGCCUAGGAAGCUGUGUGUGUGCUGUGGAGGCCUAGGCUGAUGUGUGUGUGUGUGUUCUGUGGAGGCCUAGGCAGCUGUGUGUGUGUGCGCACGUGUGUUGUGGAGGCGUAGGCCGGUGUGUGUACGCGUGUGUGUUGUGGAGGCCUAGGCAGCUGUGUGUGUGUUGUGGAGGCCUACGCAGCUGUGUGUGUGUGUUGUGGAGGCCUAGGUUGAUGUGUGUGCACGUGUGUUGUAGAGGCCUAGGAAGCUGUGUGUGUGUGUUGUGGAGGCCUAGGCUGAUGUGUAUGUGUGUGCUGUGGAGGCCUAGACAGUCGUGUGUGUGUGUGCGUGUGUGUGUGUUGUAGAGGCCUAGGAAGCUGUGUGUGUGCUGUGGAGGCCUAGGCUGAUGUGUAUGCGUGUAUAUAUUAGUUUUUAACAAAAGCUUCAAAUGUUUUUUAAAAUUUAAUAGAAAGCAGCUUAUAAAGGAGAUAAAUUAUUUUUGUAUAGUUGUAUAAUGUGUUUGUGUUAUAAGCUAAGUGUUUUUAUAGAUGAGUCAAAAAUGUUACAAAUUAAAACGUUAAGGUUAAAAAGUUACAGUAAGCGAAGGUUAAUUUAUUACUGAAGAACUAAAAAUAUUUUUGACAAACUUGGCGUAGCCAAAGUGUCUGGUAUUUACAGAGGCCACAAUAGUGUGCAGUCGUGUCCUGGCCUCACGUUCAGGUGCCGCUUACUCACCAACUCGCCAACUCACCUGGGCAACCUCCACUCCUGCCAGCUCCAGUCAUGGGAAAUGCCCUACACAGUUUUUUUUUUUUUUUCCCACCUUCUAUACCAUCUUUUUACUGUACCUUUUCUGUGUUUAAAUAUGUCUCGACACACGACCACUUACCAUCACGUUACCGCUGCCCACAGCAUUCAGUGCACUAACACGCUGCACAGGACUGCGGACUGGGUGUGUCAGGCUGUACCAGCCAAGUCUGUGCAAGCAAACUCCAUGUUUACAUAAUGAAAUCGCCCAUUUGGAACGUACCCCCAUGACUAACGCCUGGCCGCACUGAUUUCUAAUUCCCCACACGGAGCCGAUCUCCCUCGGCUGCUGCCGAUUCUUAGAACAAGCUCUGACUCCCCCACGCUGCACCCUGCCUGGCUGGCACUGCCCACGCCACCUGCACGCUGCACCCUGCCUGGCUCCCACAGCCCACGCCACCUGCACGCUGCACGCUGCACCCUGCCUGGCUCCCACAGCCCACCCCACCUGCACCCUGCACCCUGCCUGGCUCCCACAGCCCACGCCACCUGCACCCUGCACCCUGCCUGGCUCCCACAAUGCACCCUGCCUGGCUCCCACAGCCCACGCCAGGACACCCCUCUGUGGACUCCCCUCCUCCGACGUGGGCUUGGGCACCCUGCGCGGCUGCCCCCACCAAGACACACUCCCCACCCUGCUACACUCUUAGGAGCACAGCCUGAGGUCGAGGCGUCCUCAAAUUUACACCCCCAGGGCCUCUUCUGCCUGAUUCUCUUCCCAGACCUGCUGAACUGCAUGGGAAAGGGAAGUCAUUAUUAUUUUUAACUUAUGUAUUAGUCAUUGUGGAUCUAGGACCCAAGUGCUUUUUUUGUUUUUUAAAAGCAAGUCCAUUGGGAUCUGUUUCUAUAGAGAUUUUUUUCUUUUUUAAUGGGAAGAUUCAUGGCUAUAUUUAUUUUGACUGUUGCAAGGGCAAUCAACAGAAUACUGUGAUCUUGUGACUUCUGAGUUAGUAACAUUUUGCAGGAAAGAUGCUUGUCAAAUUUCAUCGCAACCUGGACAAACCCUUAAAGAGUGUAUUGUUAUUGUGGG